CCCACCAGAGUGGAGUAGAUGGCGGAUGGGUCGGUGCUGUAGGGAAAGUAGCUGGCGUAGUUCUGGCUGGCUGCUGCCGCAGCCGCGUAUGGAGAGCCGUACAUCCCCAGAGCUGCGUUCAGCUCCGUCCGGCUGCUGGCCAGGAGCCGGUUCUCGUAGGAGGGGCAGCAGAAGGAGGCGGCAGCUGCGGCGGUCUGAGAGCUGCCUGUCCCGUCAGAGACCGACCUGGAAAUCGAAUCGCAGCAAGUCGUACUGGGGUUUGCCGACACGAAAAACUGCAUGAAGAAAAUCGUGGAUAGAUAACGGUCAUUGAUGGAUUCAGCUCUGAAUUUGAUGUCUGUGAUAACUCUGAGGUUUGAGUAUGGACUUUGUUCAUCAAAACGCUACGUGUAUCCUGAGAUGUUUAGCCGAAAAAAAAUGUAACAUGUUUUUAAUUGCCUAAAGAAAAAGAUUUCGUUGUCAUGUGUAAACUUAUUUCAAGGACGGAUGCAUUGUUCCCGAACUUCCCACCGUCCGGACUUCUGAGGAAUUCGGCCCCUAGGAGACACGUCUGCGAUUGCGGCCUUUCUCUCCGAGGGGCGCUAAAGAGCCGCGUGUGCUAGAUGGAGAUCUCCCUUCAGAGAUUUUGCAAAGAGAUAAAGUGGACAGUGUGGCCAUUUAUGAAGGCACACACACAUAUCUUCGAACACAGAACACAAUAGCUACAAUCGAGCUUGUCAGACAGGAAAAGAGCUUAAGUAGAAGACUUUCAGAACUGAGGUUCUUUCUGAUAUUUCUAAGCUACUGACCCUUUUUAACUUAAACUAGUUCUAAAGCAUGUAAAUAUUUAAGAAGGUGGGAUCUGAUUUCUUCUGACUUUUCACUUAAGUCACAGGUUUCAGCUCAUUUAGGUGAAGUUGUUGUGAAACUAUUGAUAUUUUAAGAUGAAAUAGACACGAUGGCUAAAUUAUGUCCAAGUUUGGGCAGUAUUUGUUAAAUGUUCUGUAAUGGUUCAUUUUUUUGACAAAAAAA